AACGAACGCUGGCGGCAGGCUUAACACAUGCAAGUCGAGCGCCCCGCAAGGGGAGCGGCAGACGGGUGAGUAACGCGUGGGAACGUACCCUUUGCUACGGAAUAGCUCCGGGAAACUGGAAUUAAUACCGUAUGUGCCCUACGGGGGAAAGAUUUAUCGGCAAAGGAUCGGCCCGCGUUGGAUUAGCUGGUGGGGGGGGUAAUGGCCUACCAAGGCGACGAUCCGUAGCUGGUCUGGGAGGAUGAUCAGCCACAUUGGGACUGGGAAACGGCCCAAACUCCGACGGGGGGCAGCAGUGGGGAAUAGUGGACAAGGGGGGCAAGGCUGAUCCGGCCAUGCCGCGAGAGUGAUAAAGGCCUUAGGGUUGUAAGGCUCUUUCACCGGAGAAGAUAAUGACGGUAUCCGGAGAAGAAUCCCCGGCUAACUUCGUGCCAGCCGCCGCCGUAACAC
rnacentral:rRNA from 1 species